CUGCAGUAAAACCCGGCAGGAGCCGCAUCCUCUACCACAGGUCUCUGCUCCAGAGAGCUCAGAGUGCAGCAGAGGGAGGGGCCGAUCCUGCCCCUGCCAGGAAGAUGUCCCGGAAGAAGGCUCAACAACACCUGCAGAUCCCCCCAGGGCUGUGAAAGGGCCCAGGGCGCCCUGGAAAUGGUGAGCAACCAGAGAAAGAGUGUGUGCACAUGCGCACAUGUGCAAG